CCUACGGGAGGCUGCAGUGGGGAAUAUUGCACAAUGGGGGAAACCCUGAUGCAGCGACGCCGCGUGAGUGAAGAAGUAAUUCGUUAUGUAAAGCUCUAUCAGCAGGGAAGAAAAUGACGGUACCUGAGUAAGAAGCCACGGCUAACUACGUGCCAGCAGCCGCGGUAAAACGUAGGGGGCAAGCGUUAUCCGGAUUUACUGGGUGUAAAGGGAGCGUAGACGGCAGUGCAAGUCUGAAGUGAAAUGCCAGUGCUCAACACUGGAACUGCUUUGGAAACUGUGUGGCUAGAGUGCAGGAGAGGUAAGUGGAAUGCCUGGUGUAGCGGUGAAAUGCGUAGAUAUUAGGAGUAACACCAGUGGCGAAGGCGGCUUACUGGACUGUAACUGACGUGGAGGCUCGAAGGCGUGGGGAGCAAACAGGAUUAGAUACCCCAGUAGUC
rnacentral:rRNA from 1 species